CUUGGGGUUAGGCUGGGCAUCAGUCAGUGGGUGGUCUCCCCUAUGAGGAACGAUGGCUGCUGCAGCAUGUUUAUUUAAGUACCAUGCUUAAACUAGACUUUAGCUCUCACGUGACUCACUAGAUCAGUUUUCAUUGCCCCUGGCUCUUUUUUAUUAUUUACCUUGCUUCUGAAGUUUCUUGUAAGGAGAUUAGAAUCCUUUACCAAAAAAAUACAGUGAGUUUGGGGCUCAUUUAAAAUGCAGUUAUUCACCCUGCAAGGGAAGGAUGAAUAACUUGGUGGCUGAGUGACAAACCAGUUUUAUUACCUCCCACCUGACACUGGCCAAGUUGAUCAUGUCUUAUCCAGAGCAGGACAAAGGCAGAACAGGUGAUGGUAGAAAUAGGUAGAAUAGAUAGAAAAGGUGAUGGAGGAGAUGUAGAAAGAAACAUGAUAAUCUGAAUGCUCUGACAACAAAUCUUCCUCAAAAUUGGAUGCAUGACCUGAGAAAACUUGCAUUCAAUUCAUGGGUGGUACAUGGAACUUCUAGCUCCCGUUGACUCCAGUGAAGUCUUAGAAAGGUCAAGAAGGCCUGAGCCUUGCAGAGAAAUCUAACCAUGCCCAGGCAUAAAGCUACAUCCCAACAUCUUUGCCCACGGACCUGGGGCAGCAGCGAUCCUGUUUCCUUUGCAGAACAGUCAAUGAAUUCCACAGCCAGCGUUUAGAUAGCAUUUAGAUACCUACCAGUGCAACGAGUGUGCAUCUCACUGCCCUCCUCUGCCAGUGAAUGUCCCCUUUGUAAUAACACCUGAUGCAUUAUAAUCCUUAUUUCAUACUACACAUACUACAAACUCUUCUGAUUUUGCUUGCAAUCCAGUAUUUUAUUUUCUACACUUCAUUAGCUUACAGGGAGAAAAAAAAAUGUUGACUGUAUUUCAUUUCCUGCUCAGUGCUGUUGCCUGUAGGCAAGAGACUGAUGGCAGAUCUACAAUGCCAGAUCAAAAUGAAAGGACAGAUCUGAAUUUAAAUUAUUUAAAGUAGUGUUCAAAAAUGGGCUCUCCCUGCUACAAUCUGUAUUAACAAUUAUACAAUUACACUGAUGCAAUGGUAGCUCUCAAAGAAAAGCAUGAGAUUCAUGAUGGGAACAAAAGCUGCUCAUCAGUCUACCAAAGUCAUGAAAUUCUAUUGCAAAGGAGAUAAGAAUGAUCACUAAUCUUAUGAUUUUCAUAGUAGCUCUCCUAAAAUAGCAAUCACUUUCAGUAGGUAAAUAAGAUUUGGCCUUCCAGGAGAUAAGAAAAAAAUGUUGAAGCUAGGCUAAUGAAAAGCCAAAUGGAGUGCUGUGUUUGCCAUGACCUUUUUUGUAACCUGUCAUCAUCCUUGCAGGUCUAUCUGUAGUUGAGCUCUAAGACCCUUAGGCAGGGAAAUUGUUAACUCAUUAGAGAACGUUCCAUCUUUGUUCUAGAAUCUGUAUAAUGCUCAGCAAAAGCAACCUUAAUCCCCUUAAUACAAAUAAAAAUAAAUAAAGGUAUAAUAGUAAUGUGGGGUUGGAAGGGACUUCAAAGAACCAGUAGUCUAUCUCUUGCUUUGAGGAAGAAUUAAAUGUGCCUAUGCUAUCCAUGACAAGUUUGUCCAGACAGUUCCUAAAAUGGACCUCUCUCUUUGAGAAAAAAAUGGGAUUUUUCAUUUACUCUCUGAAGUCUGUCUCACUGCCUAGCUCUUCACAUAUUUAAAAAGUGUUUCCAAUAUAUAUUUAGAGGGCCUACACAAGGGGAAAUACUAAUUAUGACAAAAUAUAUUUAGUGUUUUGUUUUUUUCUUGGUCAUGAUGACUGUGAUACACAUGCUGCUAAGGCAAAGAGAGCCCCAAGUUUCAGCAGAACAGCUUCAGAACACAUUAUAUCUGCACAAUCAGAAUGUUUCUAAUGUCAGUGCCUGGUUUCAUAUGCAGCUAUCACACACUAAAUUACAUUGAAAAUGCAGUUAAGUAACUCAGAAGUAAGACUACAUGAAAUCUCAGUCAGAAAUACAAUAAAAUAUCAUGAGUGUUUUCUCUCCUGUCCUUCCCCAAAGUCUGCAUACACAAUGUGCUCCCUCUGUUCUGUUCUGGAGGACAACGACAUUUUUUGUCACAGUAAAGAAAAUCAUUUAUUUUGUUUACAUAGGUAGCGUGUCCUAGUCCAUGAUUUCAUUGUUACUAAUGUCUACCUUUGGAAUUGCAACAUGAAAGAGUAUCAAACUAUAAAAGCUUCAAUAUGUUUAUUUUAUUGUUGUUGUUUUGUUUGAUGGUGUGUUUAUUUGUUUUUAAUAUGAAUCUAUAUUGGAAAAAUAUUCCGUGAAAUAACCCACUGUAGAACAAUAUUUUGCUUUUUUCACUUGGAGUCCAUUCAACACAAACAUAAAUGUCUUACUGAUAGUUUGGAGGAUAUUCUUUGUAAAUUUAGGUUAGCAAAACCCAAAAUUAUGUGUUGACAGACAGGAAAAGCUAUGUCUAGAUAGGACUGGUGAACAUGUAGACAUAACUGAGCUAACUCUAAUCUUCUAAUCAUAUACUUAAUUCCUGUAUUGAUGGCAGAAAACCUAACAGAACAUUGGUUUUGCUGUGAGCAAAAACCAAACUCAAGUGCAAGCACAAUGUGCAAGCAUAAUUUUGAGCAAGCAGUAUUAUGCUUGCACAAAAACCUGAGCACUGACUUGGCAGCUGUAUCCUAUGGUAUGCAGUUUUAAAUUAAAACUAGCUUGCUAUGUCUUACAUGUGCUACAAUCAAACUUCAGUCUGAAGCCUCCAUAUAGCCUAAAUAGAAGCAGCAAUGCAUACUUCACACUUAGAAAUGGUCUUCCAGCUCUGGCCAUCUGUGGGACAGAUGUGCAACACUCUUCUCACAUCCAUAUCAAAAACAAUUUCAGACCAACCUUCCUGUUGUGCUUCUUCUCAAUGACCCAUUUCCAGAUCUCACUGAUGGUAGCAGUCAUUUUGCAUGUUUUGCUUUGCACCCAUUUUCACCCAUCCUGUGCCUAGAACUCCCCCUUGGCUCUCUUGGCAAUGUCCCUGAUGGGCAUAGAAGUGAACAGGCAGGAAGAUGACAACUGUGGCACUGAAAUGAAUGUGUUUCUACUAAAAUGGGAAAGCAGUGCAAACCAUGAGAGUGUGUUAAAUUUGAUCACAAGAGCUGUUGGAACAGGAAAAUCCUGGACUGUCAACAUACUUUGGGAUCUUGUCAGGUUUUAUCAAACAGGCCCAUAAUCCCUUCACCACUAUGAGAACCAAAUGCACAUCCUAUUGCACUAAUAAUCUAGAACUGACUACAAGUUAAUUGAAAAUAAAACAUAAGUCUUUAGUGCACUUUGCUGUGUGCAUUUGCAUAACCACUCUCCUCCCCCCCCUCCCCCCCCCCCCAAAGCUACUAUUUUUAUAAUAUGAUCAAAAUGCUGUAGAGAAGAAAACACAUCAGGGUGCUCUGCCAUCAUAUAAAAUGUUUUUCACAACAUAAAGUACUCAUCCAGUGCUCCACACAGUUGCUAGACUUCACUUUCAGAUGAGAAACUUCUGCAUGGAGAUGAUUCUCCACAACAUCCAUUGGCCCUUCCAGCAAGCAAUACCUACCACAUGGCACCCAGUAUGGACUGAAAAGCAGAGGAGGGCAUGGGUCGGUGAAGCUGGAGCCUCACAGUGUUACCAUUUAAAAGAAGAAAAUGUGCUGCUUUUUUUCUGAUAAUAUUUGAGUCAGAGCACUGCAUAUUAUUACCCUACAAACUACCCUGCCGCUCUUUCUGUAGCUGUAAAAUGAAAUUAGAACCUGUGGAGAAGGGGGGGUCUAACAUAGCUCAUUGUGAUUACGUGCAUUUCGCCUAACAUGUGUCCUCAAAUCUUCUGGUGAAAGUAAUUAUGAAAGUGAAAUAUGCGGUAAUAUGUGAUGACAAGUGCUUGUUUUCCUGCUCAGUCAUUGCAGCUCUAGUGUGGGAAUACUGAGUGCCAUUUUCAUAUAAAUAUCUUGCUGUAACUUUGUUGUUGCUAAUAAUAAUAAUAAAUG